rnacentral:rRNA from 1 species
CAGUAGCCGCGGGAACACGUAGGUGGCAAGCGUUGUCCGGAAUUAUUGGGCGUAAAGGGCUCGCAGGCGGUUUCUUAAGUCUGAUGUGAAAGCCCCCGGCUCAACCGGGGAGGGCCAUUGGAAACUGGGAAACUUGAGUGCUGAAGAGGAGAGUGGAAUUCCACGUGUAGCGGUGAAAUGCGUAGAGAUGUGGGGGAACACCAGUGGCGAAGGCGACUCUCUGGUCUGUAAUUGACGCUGAGGAGCGAAAGCGUGGGGAGCGAACAGGAUUAGAUACCCCCGUAGUCCCUGUCUCUUAUAC